rnacentral:other from 20 species
GGCGGGCUGGCCGGUUCGACAGGCGUAACUAUUCCCCGGGGCCUUAGUCAUUCCACAGGGAGCUGUCCCUGCCCUUGCCCGUGGGCUCGGGCACACGGCGCCCACCUACUUUGUAGGUUCCCGGGAUCGACUUCGACCAUCGGCCGGCUGGCUCGCCA